AUUGAACGCUGGCGGCAGGCCUAACACAUGCAAGUCGAACGAGUGGCGGACGGGUGAGUAAUGUCUGGGAAACUGCCUGAUGGAGGGGGAUAACUACUGGAAACGGUAGCUAAUACCGCAUACCAUCAGAUGUUCCCAUAUCGGAUUAGCUUGUGGGUGGGGUAACGGCUCACCAAGGCGACGAUCCCUAGCUGGGCUGAGAGGAUGACCAGCCACACGGGACCUGAGACACGGUCCAGACUCCUACGGGAGGCAGCAGUGGGGAAUAUGGGACAAUGGGGGCAGUCCUGAUGCAGCCAUGCCGCGUGUAUGAAGAAGGCCUUCGGGUUGUAAAGUACUUUCAGCGGGGAGGCGUUACCCGCAGAAGAAGCACCGGCUAACUCCGUGCCAGCAGCCGCGGUAAUUC
rnacentral:rRNA from 1 species